UCUCGUUCCCAAUCCCAUCCCCAUCCCAUUCCCAAUCCCGUUCYCAUUCCCRAUCCCGUUCCCGAUCCCGGAGCGGGGGGCGGCAGGCCGCCGGUGUGGCAGAAUGAAGUUACGGUCCGUGCCUGCUGUGUGCGGGCUGAGGAGCGGUAAAUCCCGGCCUUUCCCAGCGCUGAGGCGUCCCUUAUCGGCAGGAAUCGCUGCCUGGCUGAUGUAAUGAUUAGAAAAUCUGUUUCAUGAUUUCAACGAGGAGUAUUAAUACUAAACGUCUACAUCACGUUCUCCCUCACAGAAUGUGACAGCUGGAGUUACACUGAACCRAAGCAGUAUUUGCUGAGAACACACCAUGCUGAGUUUGCAGCCCUUUUGAGGUAGGGAUUUUGCACUCUUCUCAUCCGUGUCAAAYAGAUCUGCAGUUUAUUUCUUUAUGAUUGUUUGCAGUGGUUAUAAAAUCUGRGCAUUCUAUUUGCUUUACUGUACAAUAGCACAAACCAGUUUUGCUCGUGACARAUCUGUAUUUACACACCUUAUGUCUGCUCAGCACUGUAAAACAACACAUGAAAGCAAGCAGCUCUAGAAUUUAUUACACUCUCCAGGUGACAAAAGUCUAUCAGCUUUUGGCCUCAUGCCAUAACAUAACUGGUUACCUUCAGAAAGAGCCACCCCAAGAGUGUGGGUUGUCAUCACAGUGUGGUGAUUAAUGAUCCAGUCCCAUGUGUGGUGCACAGUGGAGACCACGGGAGAUGUCAGCAGGAAAACAGAAGAGUGCACAGGAGUUUUAAGGUUGGAAAUCAUAAACUGGAUGGGUUUUUUGUUACUUUGUCUUGCUCCUUUUUGAUUGAUAAUACAAGAGCAUUCAUUAUCCAGRCAAAUGGAUAAAAACCUCCAAAAAUGCAUAUAAUAAAGCACCAUAAUCAAAAGAAUGAUGAUGGGAAAUCUCUCUCUCUCCUUCUCUGUUAACUGGAAAUGCCAAUAUAUGUCUAAUAAUGCAAUCUGAUUCAAUGUUAUUAAAAUAGAGAAUAUUUUAAUAGAAACAAUAGAGUUUUGUUUUCUUCUACAUUAUAUGAUACAGUAAAAAGUUUAAAUGUAUAUAUAACCCUCCACCCAGAACCYUCCGAUAAACAAAAAGCUUUCCUARAAAACCUUUUUGCAAUGAAAUAGCCAUAGUUUGAAAGUCACAAACCCCAAACUAAUUAAAACUUUUUAAAAUCAUAAAAAUUCCUCAAAACAUGUCAGUUCUAUUUAAUAAACURUUGUUGCCCUCUAGUGUUCAAACACAAUUUGUAAAGGCCCCUCCACAAAGAACCAAACUCAUCAGCUAUCAAUUAAUUUCCCAUUAGUUCUUAAUCCAACAUGACAAACGGAGGGGUAAAAUUUUUUAAAAAGAAGUGUUUCAGUACACAUGCCUAAUACCUUAUUUUCUUGAGCACAAAAUAAGGUUUUUUCAUGUAAGAACAUUUAAAGUUGUUUUAMUCAAAUGUUGUGAAAGGCCACUGAGGUCAGCAUCCUCCUCAAAUCAGUGAUGGUGCUGGUGCACCUCUCAGCUUUCGCUGUGUGGUUCACUGUGCUGGGCAUGUGCUGCUGUUUGGGCAGGAGGGCASAGCUCCUAAUGACAUGGGACAGAAUCAGAGAGGGUGUUGGYUUGGAAGGGAUCUUARGGAGCAGCUCAUUCCAUGG